GACGAACGCUGGCGGCGUGCUUAACACAUGCAAGUCGAGCGGAGCGGCGCACGGGUGAGUAACGCGUGUGUAACUGCCCCCCUCUCUGGGAUAACAGUUGGAAACGUCUGCUAAUAUCGGAUAGUGGGGGAUGACUCGGGUCCUCUCAGCUUGUUGUUGGGGUGGUGGCCUACCAAGGCGAAGACGGGUAGCCGGCCUGAGAGGGGGACCGGCCAAAUUGGGCUGAGAUACGGCCCAAACUCCUACGGGGGGCAGCAGGGGGGAAUAAUGCACAGUGGGGGAGACACUGAUGCAGCAACGCCGCGUGCGGGAUGACGGCCUUCGGGUUGUAAACCGCUUUCAGCCAUGACGCGGUAGUGGCAGAAGAAGCACCGGCUAACUACGUGCCAGCAGCCGCGGUAAUAC
rnacentral:rRNA from 1 species